UCUCCGUUGGUGAACCAGCGGAGGGAUCAUUACCGAGUUUACAACUCCCAAACCCCUGUGAACAUACCAUUUGUUGCCUCGGCGGUGCCUGCUUCGGCAGCCCGCCAGAGGACCCAAACCCUUGGUUUUAUACAGUAUCUUCUGAGUAAAUGAUUAAAUAAAUCAAAACUUUCAACAACGGAUCUCUUGGUUCUG
rnacentral:misc_RNA from 1 species